rnacentral:tRNA from 1 species
GGUGGGAUGGCCGAGUUGGUUAUGGCGCCAGGUUAAGGUCCCCUUAACACACAGUUGAGACAUGUUCUUAAUUUCCUGGUUCGGAAACGAGCGUGGGUUCGAGUCCCACUCCCAUCA